UACGAACUGUGCGAACGUUAUUCGGAAUCACUGGGCUUAAAGGGUGCGUAGGCGGCUGCCUAAGUCAGGUGUGAAAUCUCCCGGCUCAACCGGGAAACUGCGCUUGAUACUGGGCGGCUCGAGUGAGGUAGGGGUGUGUGGAACUUCCGGUGGAGCGGUGAAAUGUGUAGAUAUCGGAAGGAACACCAGUGGCGAAGGCGGCUUACUGGACCGGUUCUGACGCUGAGGCGCGAAAGCGUGGGGAGCAAACGGG
rnacentral:rRNA from 1 species